rnacentral:rRNA from 1 species
GGAAGUAAAAAGUCGUAACAAGGUUUCCGUAGGUGAACCUGCGGAAGGAUCAUUACCGAGUGAGGGCCCUCUGGGUCCAACCUCCCACCCGUGUUUAUUUUACCUUGUUGCUUCGGCGGGCCCGCCUUAACUGGCCGCCGGGGGGCUCACGCCCCCGGGCCCGCGCCCGCCGAAGACACCCUCGAACUCUGUCUGAAGAUUGUAGUCUGAGUGAAAAUAUAAAUUAUUUAAAACUUUCAACAACGGAUCUCUUGGUUCCGGCAUCGAUGAAGAACGCAGCGAAAUGCGAUACGUAAUGUGAAUUGCAAAUUCAGUGAAUCAUCGAGUCUUUGAACGCACAUUGCGCCCCCUGGUAUUCCGGGGGGCAUGCCUGUCCGAGCGUCAUUGCUGCCCUCAAGCACGGCUUGUGUGUUGGGCCCCGUCCUCCGAUCCCGGGGGACGGGCCCGAAAGGCAGCGGCGGCACCGCGUCCGGUCCUCGAGCGUAUGGGGCUUUGUCACCCGCUCUGUAGGCCCGGCCGGCGCUUGCCGAUCAACCCAAAUUUUUAUCCAGGUUGACCUCGGAUCAGGUAGGGAUACCCGCUGAACUUAAGCAUAUA